rnacentral:rRNA from 1 species
AUUGAACGCUGGCGGCAGGCUUAACACAUGCAAGUCGAGCGGGGUGAUGGUGCUUGCACUAUCACUUAGCGGCGGACGGGUGAGUAAUGCUUAGGAAUCUGCCUAUUAGUGGGGGGCAACAUCUCGAAAGGGAUGCUAAUACCGCAUACGUCCUACGGGGGAAAGCAGGGGAUCACUUGUGACCUUGCGCUAAUAGAUGAGCCUAAGUCGGAUUAGCUAGUUGGUGGGGUAAAGGCCUACCAAGGCGACGAUCUGUAGCGGGUCUGAGAGGAUGAUCCGCCACACUGGGACUGAGACACGGCCCAGACUCCUACGGGAGGCAGCAGUGGGGAAUAUUGGACAAUGGGGGGAACCCUGAUCCAGCCAUGCCGCGUGUGUGAAGAAGGCCUUAUGGUUGUAAAGCACUUUAAGCGAGGAGGAGGCUCUUUUGGUUGAUACCCAGAAUGAGUGGACGUUACUCGCAGAAUAAGCACCGGCUAACUCUGUGCCAGCCGCCGCUGUAACAC